AGUGAACGCUGGCGGUAGGCCUAACACAUGCAAGUCGAACGGCAGCACAGGAGAGCUUGCUCUCUGGGUGGCGAGUGGCGGACGGGUGAGGAAUACAUCGGAAUCUACUCUGUCGUGGGGGAUAACGUAGGGAAACUUACGCUAAUACCGCAUACGACCUACGGGUGAAAGCAGGGGACCUUCGGGCCUUGCGCGAUUGAAUGAGCCGAUGUAGGAUUGGCUAGUGGGCGGGGUAAAGGCCCACCAAGGCGACGAUCCGUAGCUGGUCUGAGAGGAUGAUCAGCCACACUGGAACUGAGACACGGCCCAAACUCCUACGGGAGUCAGCAGUGGGGAAUAUUGGACAAUGGGCGCAAGCCUGAUCCAGCCAUACCGCGUGGGUGAAGAAGGCCUUCGGGUUGUAAAGCCCUUUUGUUGGGAAAGAAAUCCAGCUGGCUAAUACCCGGUUGGGAUGACGGUACCCAAAGAAUAAGCACCGGCUAACUUCGUGCCAGCCGCCGCGGUAA
rnacentral:rRNA from 1 species